AGAGUUUGAUCCUGGCUCAGGACGAACGCUGGCGGCGCGCCUAACACAUGCAAGUCGAACGGGACUAUACUGGAAGAAGUUUUCGGAUGGAUUUCGGUAUAGUUUAGUGGCGGACGGGUGAGUAACACGUGAGCAACCUGCCUUCGAGAGGGGAAUAACGGCUGGAAACGGUCGCUAAUACCGCAUAACAUACCGGGAGGACAUCCUGCUGGUAUCAAAGAUUUAUCGCUCGAAGAUGGGCUCGCGUCCGAUUAGGUAGUUGGUGAGGUAACGGCCCACCAAGCCGACGAUCGGUAGCCGGACUGAGAGGUUGAACGGCCACAUUGGGACUGAGACACGGCCCAGACUCCUACGGGAGGCAGCAGUGGGGAAUAUUGGGCAAUGGGCGCAAGCCUGACCCAGCAACGCCGCGUGAAGGAAGAAGGCUUUCGGGUUGUAAACUUCUUUUCUCAGGGACGAAGCAAGUGACGGUACCUGAGGAAUAAGCCACGGCUAACUACGUGCCAGCAGCCGCGGUAAUACGUAGGUGGCAAGCGUUAUCCGGAAUUAUUGGGCGUAAAGAGGGAGCAGGCGGCAGCAAAGGUCUGUGGUGAAAGACUGAAGCUUAACUUCAGUAAGCCAUAGAAACCAGGCAGCUAGAGUGCAGGAGAGGAUCGUGGAAUUCCAUGUGUAGCGGUGAAAUGCGUAGAUAUAUGGAGGAACACCAGUGGCGAAGGCGACGAUCUGGCCUGUAACUGACGCUCAGUCCCGAAAGCGUGGGGAGCAAAUAGGAUUAGAUACCCUAGUAGUCCACGCCGUAAACGAUGAGGACCAAGUGUUGGGGGUGAAACCUCAGUGCUGAAGUUAACGCAGUGAGUCCUCCGCCUGGGGAGUAUGCACGCAAGUGUGAAACUCAAAGGAAUUGACGGGGGCCCGCACAAGCGGUGGAGCAUGUGGUUUAA
rnacentral:rRNA from 1 species